rnacentral:rRNA from 1 species
AGUGAACGCUGGCGGCAGGCCUAACACAUGCAAGUCGAACGGCAGCACAGUAAGAGCUUGCUCUUACGGGUGGCGAGUGGCGGACGGGUGAGGAAUACAUCGGAAUCUACUUUUUCGUGGGGGAUAACGUAGGGAAACUUACGCUAAUACCGCAUACGACCUACGGGUGAAAGCAGGGGAUCUUCGGACCUUGCGCGAUUGAAUGAGCCGAUGUCGGAUUAGCUGGUUGGCGGGGUAAAGGCCCACCAAGGCGACGAUCCGUAGCUGGUCUGAGAGGAUGAUCAGCCACAUUGGAACUGAGACACGGUCCAGACUCCUACGGGAGGCAGCAGUGGGGAAUAUUGGACAAUGGGCGCAAGCCUGAUCCAGCCAUACCGCGUGGGUGAAGAAGGCCUUCGGGUUGUAAAGCCCUUUUGUUGGGAGAGAAAAGCAGCAGGUUAAUACCCCGCUGUUCUGACGGUACCCAAAGAAUAAGCACCGGCUAACUUCGUG